ACGUGUCGGAUUACUGGGCGUAAGAGCUCGUAGGUGGUUUGUCGCGUUGUUCGUGAAAACUCACAGCUUAACUGUGGGCGUGCGGGCGAUACGGGCAGACUAGAGUACUGCAGGGGAGACUGGAAUUCCUGGUGUAGCGGUGGAAUGCGCAGAUAUCAGGAGGAACACCGGUGGCGAAGGCGGGUCUCUGGGCAGUAACUGACGCUGAGGAGCGAAAGCGUGGGGAGCGAACAGGAUUAGAUACCCUGGUAGUCCACGCCGUAAACGGUGGGUACUAGGUGUGGGUUCCCUUCCUUGGGAUCCGUGCCGUAGCUAACGCAUUAAGUACCCCGCCUGGGGAGUACGGCCGCAAGGCUAAAACUCAAAGAAAUUGACGGGGGCCCGCACAAGCGGCGGAGCAUGUGGAUUAAUUCGAUGCAACGCGAAGAACCUUACCUGGGUUUGACAUGCACAGGACGCCAGUAGAGAUAUUGGUUCCCUUGUGGCCUGUGUGCAGGUGGUGCAUGGCUGUCGUCAGCUCGUGUCGUGAGAUGUUGGGUUAAGUCCCGCAACGAGCGCAACCCUUAUCUUAUGUUGCCAGCGCGUAAUGGCGGGGACUCGUGAGAGACUGCCGGGGUCAACUCGGAGGAAGGUGGGGAUGACGUCAAGUCAUCAUGCCCCUUAUGUCCAGGGCUUCACACAUGCUACAAUGGCCGGUACAAAGGGCUGCGAUGCCGUGAGGUGGAGCGAAUCCUUUCAAAGCCGGUCUCAGUUCGGAUCGGGGUCUGCAACUCGACCCCGUGAAGUCGGAGUCGCUAGUAAUCGCAGAUCAGCAACGCUGCGGUGAAUACGUUCCCGGGCCUUGUACACACCGCCCGUCACGUCAUGAAAGUCGGUAACACCCGAAGCCGGUGGCCUAACCCUUGUGGAGGGAGCCGUCGAAGUGGGAUCGGCGAUUGGGACGAAGUCGUAACAAGGUACUCGU
rnacentral:rRNA from 1 species